UACGGAGGGGGCUAGCGUUGUUCGGAAUUACUGGGCGUAAAGGGCGCGCAGGCGGCUGCUCAAGUCAGGCGUGAAAGGCCUGGGCUCAACCCGGGAAUUGCGCUUGAGACUGGGCUGGCUUGAGUGCGGGAGAGGAUGGUGGAAUUCCCAGUGUAGAGGUGAAAUGCGUAGAUAUCGGGAGGAACACCAGUGGCGAAGGCGGCUUCCUGGCCUGUUCUUGACGCUGAGGCGCGAAAGCUAGGGUAGCAAACGGG
rnacentral:rRNA from 1 species